rnacentral:rRNA from 1 species
AUUGAACGCUGGCGGCAUGCUUUACACAUGCAAGUCGAACGGCAGCGCGGGCUUCGGCCUGGCGGCGAGUGGCGAACGGGUGAGUAAUGCAUCGGAACGUGCCCAGUAGUGGGGGAUAGCCCGGCGAAAGCCGGAUUAAUACCGCAUACGACCUGAGGGUGAAAGCGGGGGACCGAAAGGCCUCGCGCUAUUGGAGCGGCCGAUGUCAGAUUAGCUAGUUGGUGGGGUAAAGGCUUACCAAGGCGACGAUCCGUAGCUGGUCUGAGAGGACGACCAGCCACACUGGAACUGAGACACGGCCCAGACUCCUACGGGAGGCAGCAGUGGGGAAUUUUGGACAAUGGGGGCAACCCUGAUGCAGCCAUGCCGCGUGCGGGAAGAAGGCCUUCGGGUUGUAAACCGCUUUUGUUCGGGAAGAAAUCAUCUGGGCUAAUACCCCGGGGGGAUGACGGUACCGGAAGAAUAAGCACCGGCUAACUACGUG